rnacentral:rRNA from 1 species
UUACCUGGUCUUGACAUCCACAGAACUUUCCAGAGAUGGAUUGGUGCCUCGGGAACUGUGAGACAGGUGCUGCAUGGCUGUCGUCAGCUCGUGUUGUGAAAUGUUGGGUUAAGUCCCGCAACGAGCGCAACCCUUAUCCUUUGUUGCCAGCGGUCCGGCCGGGAACUCAAAGGAGACUGCCAGUGAUAAACUGGAGGAAGGUGGGGAUGACGUCAAGUCAUCAUGGCCCUUACGACCAGGGCUACACACGUGCUACAAUGGCGCAUACAAAGAGAAGCGACCUCGCGAGAGCAAGCGGACCUCAUAAAGUGCGUCGUAGUCCGGAUUGGAGUCUGCAACUCGACUCCAUGAAGUCGGAAUCGCUAGUAAUCGUGGAUCAGAAUGCCACGGUGAAUACGUUCCCGGGCCUUGUACACACCGCCCGUCACACCAUGGGAGUGGGUUGCAAAAGAAGUAGGUAGCUUAACUUCGGGACGGCGCUUACCACUUUGUGAUUCAUGACUGGGGUGAAGUCGUAACAAGGUAACCGUAAGCUUCACAAUCGAAUUCCC